GAUGAACGCUGGCGGCGUGCCUAAUACAUGCAAGUCGAGCGAACGGACGAGAAGCUUGCUUCUCUGAUGUUAGCGGCGGACGGGUGAGUAACACGUGGAUAACCUACCUAUAAGACUGGGAUAACUUCGGGAAACCGUAGCUAAUACCGGAUAAUAUUUUUAACCGCAUGGUUCAAAAGUGAAAGACGGUCUUGCUGUCACUUAUAGAUGGAUCCGCGCUGCAUUAGCUAUUUGGUAAGGUAACGGCUUACCAAGGCAACGAUGCAUAGCCGACCUGAGAGGGUGAUCGGCCACACUGGAACUAGGAAACGGUCCAGACUCCUACGGGAGGCAGCAGUAGGGAAUCUUCCGAAAUGGGCGAAAGCCUGACGGAGAAACGCCGCGUGAGGGAUGAAGGUCUUCGGAUCGUAAAACUCUGUUAUUAGGGAAGAACAUAUGUGUAAGUAACAGUGCACAUCUUGACGGUACCUAAUCAGAAAGCCACGGCUAACUACGUG
rnacentral:rRNA from 1 species